rnacentral:rRNA from 1 species
GAUGAACGCUAGCGGCAGGCCUAACACAUGCAAGUCGAGGGGUAUAAGUCUUCGGACUUUGAGACCGGCGCACGGGUGCGUAACGCGUAUGCAAUCUACCUUGUACAGAGGGAUAGCCCAGAGAAAUUUGGAUUAAUACCUCAUAGUAUAUUUGAAUGGCAUCAUUUAAAUAUUAAAGUUCCAACGGUACAAGAUGAGCAUGCGUCCCAUUAGUUAGUUGGUGUGGUAACGGCACACCAAGACGAUGAUGGGUAGGGGUCCUGAGAGGGAGAUACCCCACACUGGAACGGAGACACGGACCAGACUCCUACGGGAGGCAGCAGUGAGGAAUAUUGGUCAAUGGAGGCAACUCUGAACCAGCCAUGCCGCGUGCAGGAUGACGGUCCUAUGGAUUGUAAACUGCUUUUAUACGGGAAGAAAUAGAGUUACGUGUAACUUAUUGACGGUACCGUAAGAAUAAGGAUCGGCUAACUCCGUGCCAGCAGCCGCGGUAA